UACAGAGGUCUCAAGCGUUGUUCGGAUUCAUUGGGCGUAAAGGGUGCGCAGGCGGCCGUGUGUGUCAGGUGUGAAAGCCCGGAGCUUAACUCCGGAAUUGCGCCUGAAACUACAUGGCUAGAGCAUUGGAGAGGGUAGCGGAAUUCACGGUGUAGCAGUGAAAUGCGUAGAUAUCGUGAGGAACACCAGAGGCGAAGGCGGCUACCUGGACAAUUGCUGACGCUCAGGCACGAAAGCGUGGGGAGCAAACAGG
rnacentral:rRNA from 1 species